rnacentral:rRNA from 1 species
UUGUUGGUAAGGUAAAAGCUUACCAAAGCUUCGAUCAGUAGCUGGUCUGAGAGGACGACCAGCCACACUGGGACUGAGACACGGCCCAGACUCCUACGGGAGGCAGCAGUGGGGAAUUUUGGACAAUGGGGGCAACCCUGAUCCAGCCAUGCCGCGUGAGUGAAGAAGGCCUUCGGGUUGUAAAGCUCUUUCAGCCGGAACGAAACGGUUACGGUUAAUACCCGUGACUACUGACGGUACCGGAAGAAGAAGCACCGGCUAACUACGUGCCAGCAGCCGCGGUAAUACGUAGGGUGCGAGCGUUAAUCGGAAUUACUGGGCGUAAAGCGUGCGCAGGUGGUUUUGUAAGUCAGAUGUGAAAGCCCCGGGCUCAACCUGGGAACUGCGUUUGAAACUACAAGACUAGAGUGUGGCAGAGGGGGGUGGAAUUCCGCGUGUAGCAGUGAAAUGCGUAGAGAUGUGGAGGAACACCGAUGGCGAAGGCAGCCCCCUGGGUCAACACUGACGCUCAGGCACGAAAGCAUGGGGAGCAAACAGGAUUAGAUACCCUGGUAGUCCAUGCCCUAAACGAUGUCAACUAGUUGUCGGGCCUUUACGGGCUUGGUAACGUAGCUAACGCGUGAAGUUGACCGCCUGGGGAGUACGAUCGCAAGAUUAAAACUCAAAUGAAUUGACGGGGACCCGCACAAGCGGUGGAUUAUGUGGAUUAAUUCGAUGCAACGCGAAAAACCUUACCUACCCUUGACAUGUAUCGAAGCCCGCAGAAAAGCGGGGGUGCCCGAAAGGGAACGAUAACACAGGUGCUGCAUGGCUGUCGUCAGCUCGUGUCGUGAGAUGUUGGGUUAAGUCCCGCAACGAGCGCAACCCUUGUCAUUAAUUGCCAUCAUUUAGUUGGGCACUUUAAUGAGACUGCCGG